GUUGCUAAGUGUGUUCAUCUCAAAUCUAAAAGCCACUUUCAUAACAACAACUUUGCUAUUCCUUAGCAUUUUGUCUCUUUAGGCAGCUUAUUUCCCAGUCAAAGUUAUAAUUUUGUAUUCAUAAUACCAUAAUCAUUUCCAUGGUAACUUCCUGUGAAGUCACAGAGAAAACACUAUUGACUUCUCCUGAGGCUCUGAUUUCCCAGUUGAAAUCAUAUGUUGAUUUUAUUUUUUCCAAUGUAAGUCAAAGAUUUACUAUUAAAAAUCCUGGGGAUGAGGUCUUAACACAGAAAACCCAUCUGUCGUCGCUACAGAGGACUACUAUGAAGAAAGCGCCUGGCAUAAUCUUGGCACAUCGAAGGCAUUCAAAAAAUACCAGUCGUCUCUCUUCACUCCCUCUAACUCUAACUCAUUUUAACCUCAUUUAAACUUUGAGGAAAAAGAACUCAAGGUGCCCCAAGGAGAAGAGGAGAUGACACACACUGAGUUUUGAAUCAGGCAUCAAACAUCUAGUCUGAAGCUGCAUCAGGCUUGGCAUCAAACAUCUAGUCUGAAGCUGCAUCAGGCUUGCCUUAUCUCUCUGCCUCCUUCAUUCAGGUCCAGCUCCUGGAAAGCUACCCAACAUUCAUUUCAAGUCCUUUGUAAUUCAAGGGAAAGCCAAGAAGUAGGAGUGGGCCUACGCAGAAACCCCUGGGCAUGAAUAAAGAUUUGAGAACUUUUCUCAAGAUAGUUACUGUGACUAA
rnacentral:lncRNA from 1 species